UACGAACUGUGCGAACGUUAUUCGGAAUCACUGGGCUUACAGGGUGCGUAGGCGGCUUGUCAAGUAGGGUGUGAAAGCCCCCGGCUCAACCGGGGGAAUUGCGCCCUAAACUGGCGAGCUAGAGUGAGAUAGGGGUGUGUGGAACUUCCGGUGGAGCGGUGAAAUGUGUUGAUAUCGGAAGGAACGCCGGUGGCGAAAGCGACACACUGGAUCUUGUCUGACGCUGAGGCACGAAAGCCAGGGGAGCGAACGGG
rnacentral:rRNA from 1 species